rnacentral:rRNA from 1 species
ACUCCUACGGGAGGCAGCAGUGGGGAAUAUUGGACAAUGGGCGAAAGCCUGAUCCAGCCAUGCCGCGUGUGUGAAGAAGGUCUUCGGAUUGUAAAGCACUUUAAGUUGGGAGGAAGGGCAGUAAGUUAAUACCUUGCUGUUUUGACGUUACCAACAGAAUAAGCACCGGCUAACUUCGUGCCAGCAGCCGCGGUAAUACGAAGGGUGCAAGCGUUAAUCGGAAUUACUGGGCGUAAAGCGCGCGUAGGUGGUUCAGCAAGUUGGAUGUGAAAUCCCCCGGGCUCAACCUGGGAACUGCAUCCAAAACUACUGAGCUAGAGUACGGUAGAGGUGGUGGAAUUUCCUGUGUAGCGGUGAAAUGCGUAGAUAUAGGAAGGAACACCAGUGGCGAAGGCGACCACCUGGACUGAUACUGACACUGAGGUGCGAAAGCGUGGGAGCAAACAGGAUUAGAUACCCCUGGUAGGAUAGCG